rnacentral:rRNA from 1 species
GAUUAACGCUGGCGGCGUGCCUAACACAUGCAAGUCGAACGAUGAAACUUAAAUGAUUUCUUCGGAAUGAACUUAAGUGGAUUAGUGGCGGACGGGUGAGUAACGCGUGAGUAACCUGCCUUACACAAGGGGAUAGCCGUUGGAAACGACGAAUAAUACCCUAUGAAACUAUCACUUCGCAUGAAGCGAUAGUCUAAGUGUUAGCGGUGUAAGAUGGACUUGCGUCUGAUUAGCUAGUUGGUGAGAAAAAAGCCCACCAAGGCAACGAUCAGUAGCCGGCUUGGGAGAGUGUACGGCCACAUUGGGACUGGGACAAGGCCCAGACUCCUAGGGGAGGCAGCAGUGGGGAAUUUUGAACAAUGGGGGAAACCCUGAUGCAGCGACGCCGCGAGAUUUAGAAGGCCUUCGGGUUGUAAAAAUCUUUUGUAUAGGAAGAAAAUGACAGUACUAUACGAAUAAGGUCCGGCUAAUUACGUG